AGGAUAAGGUAAUCUGCAUCCUGAGGUUUAGAUCAGAAUAAUGAAUUUUAAAAAAUGGCUUUUCUUUUCUAGCCCUCGGGUCGCAGAUUACCUCUUCCUU